CCCUUAGAUGUCCUGGGCCGCACGCGCGUUACACUGAUGCAUUCAACGAGCUUAUAACCUUGGCCGAGAGGCCUGGGCAAUCUUGUUAACGUGCAUCGUGAUAGGGAUAGAUUAUUGAAAUUAUUAAUCUUGAACGAGGAAUUCCUAGUAAACGCAGAUCAUCAAUCUGCAUUGAUUACGUCCCUGCCCUUUGUACACACCGCCCGUCGCACCUACCGAUUGGAUGGUCCGGUGAAGCCUCGGGAUUGUGGUUCUUGCCGCUUUAUUGUGGCGUGACCGCGAGAACUUGCCUAAACCUUAUCAUCUAGAGGAAGGUGAAGUCAUAACA
rnacentral:rRNA from 1 species